AUUGAACGCUGGCGGCAGGCUUAACACAUGCAAGUCGAGCGGAGAUGAGGUGCUUGCACCUUAUCUUAGCGGCGGACGGGUGAGUAAUGCUUAGGAAUCUGCCUAUUAGUGGGGGACAACAUUCCGAAAGGAAUGCUAAUACCGCAUACGCCCUACGGGGGAAAGCAGGGGAGCUUCGGACCUCGCGCUAAUAGAUGAGCCUAAGUCGGAUUAGCUAGUUGGUGGGGUAAAGGCCUACCAAGGCGACGAUCUGUAGCGGGUCUGAGAGGAUGAUCCGCCACACUGGGACUGAGACACGGCCCAGACUCCUACGGGAGGCAGCAGUGGGGAAUAUUGGACAAUGGGCGGAAGCCUGAUCCAGCCAUGCCGCGUGUGUGAAGAAGGCCUUUUGGUUGUAAAGCACUUUAAGCGAGGAGGAGGCUACCUGGAUUAAUACUCUAGGAUAGUGGACGUUACUCGCAGAAUAAGCACCGGCUAACUCUGUGCCAGCCGCCGCCGUAAUAC
rnacentral:rRNA from 1 species